GUUUAUUACCCCCAGGCUAGAAGCCUCCUGAAUGUAGAUGUUGGACAUGGUCUUCCACAGUCUGGGCCUGUCGGGUCGUGGCCAGGCCGGGGUCCGCUCUUCCGACACAUCUGGGGUCUUCAGUGGGUGCUACCUGGGCCCAGCUGUUCAGCCCCCAGGCCAAGCCUGGAUCUCCUUGAGUAUUUUGCUUUCCCUGCCUGCCAAGCAGAGAGAGGCAAGGGCAUAAACCCUGCGGAGGAGGAGAAGGGGGAGGAGGGACAAGGCAGGAGGCGACUGUGUGCCAGAGGGAGGCCCAUAAAGCCAUGGGAGUGGCAGCCGCAAGAGGGGUCUCCGUUGUUUAUUCACCCUUUGUGUUUCAUCUACUGAAGAUGGAGCAUGAGCAACACGAGGGAAAAGCCCUGUCCUCUGAGCUUAGAGAUCAGUGGGGGAGACAGACUAGAUCAAAAACAGGUUCUAUAGGGUGGUACACAAUGCAGAAAAAGCAGAGGGGAUGGGACAGCCCGAAGCAGGCUGGGACAGGGGCUGCGGUUCCCUGCACGCCUCCUCUCCCAGGAGAGACACCCACACACAGGCGAGCCACCUCAUUGCCCUGGCCCUGGGACCAGCACCGCCCAAACCGGGUUCUCUAUAAGGAAAAACACUUCCCCCUC
rnacentral:lncRNA from 10 species